rnacentral:snRNA from 1 species
AUGCUCACUCCAGCAGCACAUAUACUAAAAUUGGAACAAUACAGAGAUUAGCAUGGCCCCUGUGCAAGGAUGACAUGCAAAUUCAUGAAGUGUUCCAUAACUUU